rnacentral:tRNA from 1 species
GCCUUGGUGGUCUAGUGAUUAAGAUUCGGUGCUCUCACUGCUGUGGCCCAGGUUCAUUUCCUGGUCAGGGAA